GCUGGCAACCCUAUUAAUGCAAGUCAUCUUGGAUAUUACAUUUUACAGGGAAUAAUUUCAGAAUAGAUAGUAUUCUGUUUGGGACCUGACUAGAAAGACUGCUCACGUAUUUCAUCCUGCCUUGCCCAACCAUUUCAGACUGAAAAUGUUCCUGUAUAUUUACAAGAUGUGCUGACUUUUCAAGAACAGGCUGGGGACUUCAAAAAGAAGAUCCACACCUAAACAGCAUCAGUUCAGCAGCAGCCUGACUCCUCUUCCAGACAAGAGAUCAAACCUUAUGACUGAAUCUAUAUUAGGUCAUUUACCCGACUGCCUUUGCCUCAACCCAGAUGAAAGGGUCCUUUCUUGGUCAUCCUCACAACAGCAGCUGUCACAGCAUCCAGUGUGUUGAUUCAGCAAUAUAGGUCCCUAUUUCCCACAUCAGGAAAAUCCACACUGAUGGGGGAGAGCCACCUGGAGAUGCCAGAAACAACCAAGGGCCAUUAGGAUAAGGAGCAGCUAUGCCAUGACCCAACCUGCUGUCAUUGGAUGAGAAGAUUAUGUGACCUGAUGCCACCUGUGAUGUCAUCAUCCAAUGAGUCAGAUUACCUGACUUUAGAUAAGUCAUGCAAAUCAAAAGACAAAAUGCCUCAUAAACAUUAUACCAUAUACAGAAGGUCAAAUGUAUUUGGAGUCAUCAAAGUAAUCAUCGAGCCAGAAUAACUCACUUCUGCCUAUAAUUCCUUGGAUAGCAACUGCAAUUAUUUCCAUUUCAACAUACUGCAACUUUAUAAUUAAUGUUACAAUCAGCUUUGUAUUGCUGAUGCACUUCUUACUUCCUGAACAUCACAAGUACUGUUUUUCUUCUACCAAGAGAAGUGUAAAAGACUGGCAUCCUUACUACCAAAACUUUAAAAAUGUCAAACUGCUGGGUAUGUUCUGCCAUUACUUCUGCUCAUGAGGUAGGAGUACCCAUGGCAUCCAUCCUGUACAAUUCAUCAAAAUACCCAGUCUUGUGAUCUGCAGAUGUCAACCACCAGGAAGACAACA